CAGUAGCCGCGGGAAAACGUAGGUGGCAAGCGUUGUCCGGAAUUAUUGGGCGUAAAGGGCUCGCAGGCGGUUCCUUAAGUCUGAUGUGAAAGCCCCCGGCUCAACCGGGGAGGGUCAUUGGAAACUGGGAAACUUGAGUGCAGAAGAGGAGAGUGGAAUUCCACGUGUAGCGGUGAAAUGCGUAGAGAUGUGGAGGAACACCAGUGGCGAAGGCGACUCUCUGGUCUGUAACUGACGCUGAGGAGCGAAAGCGUGGGGAGCGAACAGGAUUAGAUACCCCUGUAGUCCCUGUCUCUUAUAA
rnacentral:rRNA from 1 species